rnacentral:lncRNA from 1 species
ACGCGUACCGCCCCGUUCCCCCACCGUUUCCGACCCGGCAGCUUCUGGAAAACAGCGCCCUUGAUCCUCCCGGGCAGGAAGAAGGGCCAAGGAAGGGGUUAGAAGGGAAAGAGUUAGGAUUUCCCAAGAACCAGCCCUGAAGGCCUGGAGGUGGGGGAUUUCGCUUCUUAGUUGGACGGGAGCCCCUUGGGUUCCUCACUUCUUAGCCCGCGCCCUGCGGGAGGAGCGACUCUGCUUGUCCCUCAAGAUGCUUGUGAAGGUGCCCGCUGCGCUCUGACACCGGCGAUCUCUUAGAAUGAAGACCAUCCCUGGGCAAAAUUGCGAAGAAGUGGAAGGAAAGAAGAGAAAGAAGAAGAAAGGAAUAUAGGUACCUGUUUUACAUACAUUGUUUCAUCUAAUCUUCAAAACCAAUCUCUGAUGUAGCUAUUAUUAUUCCUUUUUACAUAAAAGAAAACCAAGACUUAAAAGAAUUCCAGGACACCCGUGGUUAUUCAGCUCUUACGUCCAACUGUGAAGUCACCCGUCGUUUUCACUGUACUACCUUGCCCUCCUUAGAGUUUUCGUUCACUAACCCUUUACUUACCUGCUCAGUCAUUCUUUCUUCCAUCUUUAUGGAUCCAGUUAUUACCUUAGGUUGUCCAUAACCGCUCCC